GACGAACGCUGGCGGCGUGCUUAACACAUGCAAGUCGAACGGAAGGGCCCUGCUUUUGUGGGGUGCUCGAGUGGCGAACGGGUGAGUAACACGUGAGUAACCUGCCCUUGACUUUGGGAUAACUUCAGGAAACUGGGGCUAAUACCGGAUAGGAGCUCCUGCUGCAUGGUGGGGGUUGGAAAGUUUCGGCGGUUGGGGAUGGACUCGCGGCUUAUCAGCUUGUUGGUGGGGUAGUGGCUUACCAAGGCUUUGACGGGUAGCCGGCCUGAGAGGGUGACCGGCCACAUUGGGACUGAGAUACGGCCCAGACUCCUACGGGAGGCAGCAGUGGGGAAUAUUGCACAAUGGGCGGAAGCCUGAUGCAGCAACGCCGCGUGCGGGGUGACGGCCUUCGGGUUGUAAACCGCUUUCGCCUGUGACGAAGCGUGAGUGACGGUAAUGGGUAAAGAAGCACCGGCUAACUACGUG
rnacentral:rRNA from 1 species